CCGAACGGCAUGGGAAGGCCGGUCAGAGAGUGUGAGAACCACGUAGGUGAAAACGACAAGAGCUGAGCGAGUUCCAGAGUACGGCCAGACACGUGAAACCUGGUCGGAAUACGGGGGGACCACCCUCCAACCCUAAAUACUACCCAGUGACCGAUAGCGUAUAGUACUGUGAAGGAAAGGUGAAAAGCACCCCGGGAGGGGAGUGAAAAAGAACCUGAAACCCUGUGCCUACAAGCACCUAGAGCACGUCAAUGUGUGAUAGGGUACUUUUUGUAGAACGGUCCGGCGAGCGAUUGUAUGCAGCAAGGUUAAGGACUUAAGGUCUGGAGCCGAAGCGAAAGCGAGUUUGAAAAGGGCGUUAAGUUGCAUACAAUGGGCCCGAAACCGGGUGACCUACCCAUGGUCAGGUUGAAGUGGAAGUAAAAUUCCAUGGAGGACCGAACCGACCUCCGUUGAAAAGGCGGCGGAUGAACUGUGGGUAGCGGAGAAAUUCCAAUCGAACCCGGAGAUAGCUGGUUCUCCCCGAAAUAGUUUUAGGACUAGCCUCAAGUUAGAUACCUGGAGGUAAAGCACUGAAUAGCCUAGCGGCCGAGAGGUUAGCGAAGCUUAUCAAACUCAGAAUGCCAGAGUAUUGAUGCUUGGGAGUCAGACAGUGUCAGAUAAAUGUCAUUGUCAAAAGGGAAACAGCCCAGAUCUACAGCUAAGGUCCCAAAGUCAGGUUAAGUGGAAAACGAUGUGAAGAUACGUAGACAACCAGGAUGUUGGCUCAGAAGCAGCCACACAUUCAAAGAGUGCGUAAUAGCUCACUGGUCGAGCGUCUUUGCGCGGAGAAUUUAACGGGGCUAAACCUGACACCGAAGCUUAGGCAAUACAGCAAUGUAUUGGGUAGGGGAGCGUUGUAUACGCGGUGAAACAGUAGCGCAAGCGGCUGUGGAGUGUAUAGAAGUGAGAAUGCCGGAAUGAGUAGCGCGAAUGCAGUGAGAAUCUGCAUGGCCGAAAGCCUCAGGUUUCUGGAGGAAGGUUCGUCCGCUCCAGGUUAGUCGGGAGCUAAGGUGAGGCCUAACGGCGUAGCCGAUGCACAGACGGUAGAGAUUCCGUCACCACCAAAAGAGUUAAGCACAGGGACACAUUUGAAGUCUCGGAGCCGGGUGUUGGUUCCGGUAGCGAUCGAGGGAAGUUAGUACCGAAGUCCGGGAUGGAAGAUGGCGAGAAAAGCUGUGUGUAUUUCUGCGGUGCCCGUACCGCAAACCGACACAGGUAGGUAGGAAGAAGAUUCUAAGGCCAACGGGAGAAGGGUUGUUAAGGAACUCGGCAAAUUGACCCCGUAACUUCGGGAGAAGGGGUGCUCCAGAGAUGGAGCCGCAGAGAAUCGGCCCAAGCAACUGUUUACCAAAAACACAGGUUUGUGCUAAAUCGAAAGAUGACGUAUACGAGCUGACGCCUGCCCGGUGCUGGAAGGUUAAGAGGAGAUGUGCAAGCAUUGAAUCGAAGCCCCAGUGAACGGCGGCCGUAACUAUAACGGUCCUAAGGUAGCGAAAUUCCUUGUCAGGUAAG
rnacentral:rRNA from 1 species